CAUGAAUUUUCAAAACAAUUCAAUAAAAUAUAUUAUGUUAUGUGCAUAUGUUAUGUUCCGUAUGGAAAACCUCCCUGUUUGCAUAUCAGUCUUAUUCCAUUUUCUUUUAUAAAUAAAAGGUCAUUCUAAACCAACUAAAAUGUCAACACUCUUUGACAUUUUGGUGACAUAGUUAGGAGAGUCACAAAGAUGCCAAAACAAAUCUAUAAAAUCCAGUAGAUUUAUUUAUGAAAGAUUCAGAUUUUAAGAGUUAGGAAGACAAACAGCAAAACCAAAUUCCCUUGUGUUCAAGUACUUGCUAUUUUGUUCACCCACAUUAAAGACUAUAAUCCCAGUAUAUGUUAGAUCUUUUGAAUUUCCAGCCUUCCAUUUCCUUGGGUGUCAUAAUCAAAAGAACACUGAACUGUUCUAAACACAAAACACUAGCUAGUUGUAUGACACUGAGUAUAAGCCAUAAAACCAUAGCAAUUUCUCCUGAUCUGUAAAAUGCAUGUUGCACCUACUUCUUCUAUCCCACAGGAUUAUGAAAAAUCAAAUGACAAUGUUUGAGAAAGUUUUUGAAAAUAGUAAAGCACCAUGUAAAUAGUAAUUCCAUGUAAUAAUGUGGAUUCUAAGAGUCACUUAUCCCUUGCUGGCAUAACAAAUUGCCCCAAAAUUUAGUGACUUAAAACAAUUUAUUUAAUGUUUCUUAGGUCAGCAAUUUGAGCAUAGUUUAAAUCCUCUGCUUCAGAGUCCCUCACAGGCUGCAGUCAAUAUGUCUGCUGUGGCUAUCAUCAUACCAAUGCUCAACUGGAGAAAGUUCUGCUUCCUAGAUUAUUCACAUUGUUCUUGUCAGGAUCCACUCCUUGCUGGUUGCUGGAAUACAAGCCUCAAUUUAUUACUUGCUGUUGACUGAAUGCAGUCUUCAUUUUCUUGGUUCAUGGCCUUUUCAGCAUAGUAGUUUGCUUACAUCAUCAAAGUUUGCAAGCCAAGAAGGCAACAGAAAGAACACAGCAAGAUACAAGUCAUUCUUUUGUAAUCUAACCAUGGAAAUGACAUCUCAUCACUUCUGCUUUAUUCUAAUUCACUAGAGGCAAGUUACUAGGGUCAUCCCACAAUGAAGGGGAGGUGACAACACACUGGUAUAAAUAUCAGGAGGUGAGGAUCAUUGGGGGUCAUCUUGAUAGCUGCCUAACAUAUGGACCAUUCCCUACAUCCUACACAUAUCCUGGGCUUAGCUCCCUCUCAGUUGUCAUCUCAGAAUUUCCUUUUUUCUAUAAAUCCUCGCUCUAAGGCAGCUCAACCUUCAAUGCACAAUUCAAUUAAGAUCUCCUUUUGGAAAUUUUCUUAUGAAUCCUUCAGUUAGAUGGAAUCUUCCCAAUGUCUACAUUCCCAAUCAUUUGGCACACAUUUUAUUUUAGUUCAUAUGUCACCUCAUGCCUUUUGUUGUCGUGUUCAUAGCCUUCAAACCUAUUCAUGGAUCAGGGCCAGGAAGUCAGGAAUGGGGCCUUACACCUCUCCAUAUUCUCCCAUGGUAUGAAGGACAAUGUAGGCUACAAAAUGAGCCAUCUAUGUAGUUAUUGAAUUGAAUUGAGACAGUUUUUCAUGCAAAUAUUAAAACGUUAUAAUCUCUGUUCUGCUAAAGGGCUUACUGGAAGACACUAAAAAUGAAUCAAUAAUUUCAGUGCUGAAAUAGUCUUAUUUUAGGGAUUCCUGCCAGUAUUUUUGUUUUUCAAAAGAUGCCUAUAGUCUGCUCUCUAAGGGUUUUAUUCAUCGAGAGGGUGAACCUGCAGAAAAUAGUGGAAUCAUUUGACCUCAACAGUAAGGUACCAGAUUUUCAGAUGUUUAUGCAUAUUAAGUGCAUAUUUCUGUUCCAGAAGUUUUUCUUGUGGCUUCACACUUCCUGUUACAAUGUUCUAGAACAGGCUUAAUUGAGGGUGAACUAUCCUGUGAGUAUAAAGUCUUAAUGAGAAAUUGCUCAUUUAUAUUAACUUAUUAAAAAGGUCCUAUGAUAUGAGUGAUUCUUUUUCAGCUAUACAGUGUCAAUGUAUAAAUAGACCUAUACUCCCAUGAAAUCACUUAGAUAAUAGCCUGGAUAUAAAGGGUGUCCGGGGACCUAUAAAAUUAAAUUUGCAUGGUAGAAACUGAGCCAAGAAUUUUUAUAAGGUUGGGCCCAACAUUCUUAGUAUUCGAAUAUCUUACAAACUUAUAGAAGAUUAAUUCAUUUCAGUUCAAAAGAUUUCAAAUGUUCAAUUGGGUUUUACUCAAGAACAUUUAUAUGGUUGAUAAUUUGUUGAAACUGGCUCCCAUGGGUUUUGGUUCAGACUUAGUCUACUUUUCCCUUUAUUAAACUUUGUCCCCAAAAGGUCUGAGGAGAGUGUUUUUCAGGGAAGCUGACUAUGAAGUUCUUUGCAAAUUCCCCAACUCUACUUUCUACUCAACAUUGCCAUUUAUCCUGAGGGGAAUCUCAGAGGUCUAGACUAAACUUGGCUUCUCCUCAGGGCUCCUUCCCAUCAGUAUUCCCUGUAUAGGAAAUGGCCAACGUUCCAAGUUAAAUUUUUGGCUAAGUAAAUGGGACUUAUUCCAUUUGUUCAGUGGUCCAUGUGCUUCAAAACAUCAUGGGGCUUCAUUUGAGGUGUUGAGUGCCAGAAAUAGAUAGUUCACUGCAUUUUAUGCCUUAAUGUGAGAGAGGUGGGAAUUGCGAAUUUAUGGGAAAACUAAAAUUGGGCAAAAAAUGGGGAGAUAUUAUUGGAAUUUGAAAACUACCUCAUUGAUAGUUUUUAUUAUCUCAUUGGGUAAGUUAUUAUUCUUUCAUUCAUUUGGCAAAUAAUUUUUUUAGCAUUACUAUGAGUCUAGAAUUGUUUUAGUCAAUAGGAACAAGCAGUGAACCAAAAGAAGUGUUCCUGCUCUCAUGGGCCUCACAUUUAGUCAGGGAAUAGAUAAUGAAUAAAUAAUUAAGUAGGCAUACAUUAUGCCAACUGAUAAGUUAUCAGAAAUGAAAUAUUGUAAAGCAGCAGAGAGUAACAGCUGGAGGUAGGGUGGGUGCUAUUAUAGAUUAGACAGCAUUUGAGCAGUGACCUGAAGAAAAUGAGUGAGUUUAUGAGUAUUUGGGUAGGGGGAAGUCCUGAAGGGAGCAGAAAGUACUUAGAUACUUAGAUUCAUAUUUGAAUAUAUGAGUCUAAAGAUCAGGAGAGAGGUUCAGGCUAAAAGAAUAAAUAUGGACAUCCUCAGUAUUUGGAUUAUUUAAUGUCAAGAGACUGGUUGAAAUCAUUGAAGAAGCAAGUCAAUAAAGGUAAAGGAAGUCUAAAGGCCCGAACUCUGGGGCAUUUAACAUUUAGAGAUAAAGUAGUUACGGAAGGCUCCAUGCAAUAAGGGAAAUGAGGCAAUGUGUAGAAGAUUUAUUGAAACCCUAAUAUACAUGAGGCACUGUGAUAAGUCUGUGAUUCAAUGAUGAAUAAAACUGUUUCUGCCCCUGAGGAUUUCAUAGUUUACUGGUGCUUUAAUGGAGUUAUUUAUAUAGAGAGUUACAUAGAAUGUGCUCUAGGUGCAGGGAAGACAAAGCUGCUAUCUCUGCCUCAAUAUCAAAAAUAUUUUAGAAAAGAGGUGAUAUUGGAGUGGAAGAGACACACAAGAGUGAGUUUUUCAUGUAGAGCAGGGAGUGAAGGGCAUUCUGGGAGCAAGAGGUUGCAUGUACAAAAAUGUCGAAUUGGAACACAUGAAGUGUUGGUGGAAAUGCAAGGAAGCAGUAUCACCAUAGGAUAAACAGAGAGGUGGAGUUGGAGUCACAGUGAACAGCCAUCUGUCACCUAGUGGCAGUUAGUUAUCUUUCUUCAUCCUUUGAUUCCUUACUUAUAAAUUUAUAUAUCAUAGUAGUAAUAUCUAAUAAGCACAGGAGAGAAAAAAAGUAAAAAAUAUUGGGUUUGUGAGUUUGUUUUGUGCCAUCAAUUAAGCAAAGUGCCUUAAUACACAACACCAGUCAAUCCUCACAGUCCCAUGAAAUAGACAGUAUUAAACCCAUUUUACAUCUAAGAAAACAGAUUUAAAGAGAGGCUGAAUAAUUUAGCCAAGUUUUUCCAGGUAGUUAGUUGAGUGGAAGAUAGUGUGUGGAGAUUGUGAAGCAAGUCAGUAUUCAGAACUAAGUUACCUGACUCUAAACAGUAGGCAGGAAGACGUUAUGGCUAUUCAUUAACACUGAUGUUCAAGUUAGACAGUCAGAGUGAGUUCAUAGAGAAGGGAAUGGCUUUGGUGAAGUACAGAGCGACCCAAAAUUUUUCAGGUGAGGAGUUGCCAAAGAAAACUCUUUAGCUUGAAUAGAUUGGAUACAUGGCACUUACAUUCACUGAAAAAACAAAAAAAAAAAACUGGGAGCAGUAAUGAAGGACACAGCAAUUUAGUAAUCCUUGAUGACUCAAGAUGACUUAUUUAUAUCAGUUGGAUCAGUGGAGUCCUUUGCCUAUUAGCUCCAUUAAAUCUGGCCUCUGGACUUCUGGAACUUUGAUUAAGACUAUAAAAUAAAGAAUUCUUUUUUUUGUCUUCAAUUUUCUUACAACCAAAAAGACUUAGCCCCUGAUAUUUAUUUAAAACUUUAUUUAAAAUCUCUCAGCAUUAGUUUUUAAAGCAGUCCUUUCCCUCUAUCCCUCCAAAAUAGAAGCUGUUCCUGAAGGUAGUUCUCUCCUAGAAAAGGAGGACACAUAAUUUAAAUUCUGGGGAUUACCAGGAUGCAGGAAAAGAUAAGGCUUUUGAAAUGAGGUGAUUACAAUAAUUAAAAUAAAAAGGUAACUUAAAGUUUCUGAGGCUUGAAGCUGGAAAUUUUUGUACAAAGCUGAAAUUUCAAUACUCAAAUCUCUCUUCUGAGUUCCAUAUCUAAAUGUCUAUUGAGAACUUCUGUGUGAAUGGUCUCCAGGUAACUUGAAUGUCUCAGAGGCACCUUAAACUUAUCAUGUUCAAAAGUGAAAUUAUUACAGGUUUUAUUAGAACUCUCUUUUUCUUUCUAAAAGCCAAGUCUCAGUGAAAGGUAUAAACUGCUAAUCAGUUUAUACCAAAUUGGUCUUUGCCUCCUCCAUUUCCUUUAAUUCCUUCAUUCUUCAAUUCCAAUCAGCCAUCAAGUCCUGGCUUCCAUUUUCCUGAUGCAAGCUCAGCUUCCCGAGAUUAUCCAAAGUAGGAUGAAUCCUUGCUUUCAAUGCCCACUUUAGAGUGCCUGUCAUAUGAAGUAAUUAUGAGCACAGCAUGAAGUCUACAUGAGAAUCUUCUACAUGGGAUGAAAUUGAGGUGAUCAUUAAAGUUUCCACGGUGAUUGCUGUGUGGAUCUCUGAAGAAACUCUGUGUUGAGAACUGCAAUUCAGAGACCUUUGAAAAAGUCUCAUGGCUUGAUCUAGAACUCACUGGGAAAAUGCAGAGCCAGCUAUGUUACUGCUCCUGAGGCCUGGGUAAAAGCCAAUGGCCCCAAGACCAACAUGAAGGAGCACAGAGAAGACAGAGUUUCAUUCUUAUCAACUGUGUAUGCUUUUGUGUUCUUGUCUGAUCAAUAAUGGAAAGUGAGACUUGAAAAUGAAUGGAUGUUGGCUUGGUCAACUAGGAUGAUUAACAGCUAAAAUCUGGUUUGCUUUUACUGAAAAGAAACUUGAGGUAUUUGGUAUUCUUAAUGUUGGGGAGCAAUGCAUACUUAUACAUAAGUAAAUUCAUAGUGAUCAAUAGUUCAGCUGAAAUAAAAUGUCUAGAAAAAUAAAUGGCUCAUUUUAAAUAUUGAUGAGGUAUUUAAAAAUAUGAGCUCCUGAGAUUUGGGUAGCACUAAUUUGUUUUAUAGCCCCAGGUACAAUGAAUUUAAGCUUUUUGUUGUCAGAAAACAAUUAGCCCUGGAUAUUGUCUAGGCGUCAUAUUGAAUUGUUUAGAAUUUUACUUCAUUUGUGUACCUCUGUAAGUCAGUGCCCUCAAUGCAGAUGAAUUGGUUUUCUUUAUGCUCAUGGCUGGAAAUUCCAAGUGCAAUUUCUUAAGAUACCUCUUUCCAAUAGGAAUUAAUAGAAUAGAAAAAUAAUGACCAGUUUUUCUUCAUCCUAGAAAUGAUGCUGUCUUUUCAGUUAAGUUACACAAAUACAUAUCAUGAGCCUACUAUGUACAUUCAAUAUCCUGGCAAUGGAGUCUAUUGUAAAGAUCAUGGAAUAAAAUUUAUAUGGUCUGGUUUUAUGAUCCGUGUCCAGUUAUUUGCCAGAUCAGUAUCUACCAAAAAGUCAUUUUACUCCACUUCCUACAUUUACAUUGUUAUAGCAGUAAUGCCUAUCUCACAGUAAUAUGACAAACAAGAUAAUAUUUGAAAAAUCUUUGUAUCAAGGACUCUUUGUUCUUAUCAUGUGCAAGACUUUCUGCUCUGUUUUCAGAGUGUAAUUUUGCUUAUUUGUUGAAUCUAUAAAAUGAGACAAAAUUACCAUUCUUCCCAGUCCCUAUAAUUCUGUAAUUUUUCAAAAAGAGAGGCUUUCAAAAUUCACAGAAUAGGUAUUUUG